rnacentral:rRNA from 1 species
AACGAACGCUGGCGGCAUGCUUAACACAUGCAAGUUGAACGCAGAAUAGAGCUUCGGCUCUAUUGCUGAGUAGCAAACGGGUGAGUAACGCGUGGGAAUCUGCCUUCUUGUGGGGGAUAACUAAGGGAAACUUUAGCUAAUACCGCAUACGCUCUACGGAGGAAAGGCUUCGGCCGCAAGAAGAGGAGCCCGCGUCAGAUUAGGUAGUUGGUAGGGUAAAGGCCUACCAAGCCAAUGAUCUGUAGCUGGUCUGAGAGGAUGAUCAGCCACACUGGGACUGAGACACGGCCCAGACUCCUACGGGAGGCAGCAGUGGGGAAUAUUGGACAAUGGGGGAAACCCUGAUCCAGCAAUGCCGCGUGAAUGAAGAAGGCCGUUAGGGUUAGUAAGUUCUUUCACCUGUGAAGAUAAUGACGGUAGCAGGAGAAG